AGAAGAAGUAAAACUAAGUGAUUAGUUCUUACGAGCUAGCACUUUUAUAUUCUAGGGUUAGUUUAUUUGAUUUUCCACUCUCUUUCCGUGGCGUGGGAAUCAGCGGUGUCCUCCUGAUGCGUGCGCUGUGGUGUGAUGCCGGUGCGUAUGAUGUCGUGGGUGUGAAAAUAGGAUGCUCGGUCGAUGCAGGUGCGUGUGAUGUCGUCGGUAUGGUAAUGAGAUGCGACGGAUGCAAGGCUUUCUGGGAAUUCGGGAUACUUUGAUGAUGCGGUUGGAAUCGGUCGGUAUUGUUGUCCCUUCGCAUGUUGGUGUGAUAAUGUGGUGCGAUGUCUAGAUGUUUUGGGAUGCAGAACCACGAGCUCGGGUUGAUGCGAUGAUUCUCGGUAUUCAGGGUUUUAUGAUCCUCGUCCGGUUAGAAUGGUUUCGGAUGAUGAUAUCUGACAGCUUUAUGAUGCUCGUUCGGUGUGGGUGGUCUCGAUCGUUGGUAACUGGUAUUUGCUGCUGAGAGCUUGGCAGUUGUUGUUGAUAUCCUUCGUUUGCACUUUGGGCAAUAAACAUUCCAUGAUUUGAUAAAGGAAAUCCACGAUUUGGAAAUGAAUUUCCACGACUUGACCAACCUCCUCUUUGAUGUGGAUAUCGCUGAUAUCCUCUGCUUUGACGGAAACUUCCACGAUUGUGACCAAAAUUUCCAUGGUUGUGCUGAUGGAAAUUUCCACUGUUGUGCUGUUGAAAUCUGCCGCGAUUAUUUUGCGUUUGGUGGGCUCGAGCACGACCUCGAGCUCCAUCUCUUGAUGUCCACAUUAUUCGAGUAAUAUUUUGACUUGUUUCUCCAGUAAUUGGGCUGGAUUGUGCAUUUUCUUGCAAUUUCUGGAUUGCAUCAUUAAUAUUGGUAAAAUUACCUGCUUUAAGAACAAUUCGUGCUUCACUGUUCUUAGCGCCCCUGAUGAGAGCAUCUACGCCAUGUUUUGUGGCCAUUUUCUGUGCUGUAACUUCAGGUAUGUUGUCACUCAAAUACACCGAUUUUAGCUGCGCGAUAAUUUUGUCGACUUGUUCACAAAAGUCAGUCACGUUGUCCGUUUGUUUAAUUGCAGCGAGUUUAGCUAUGAGGUUUUCUGCUGUUAUUUUUGACAUGCAGUGAUUUUUAACAGCGUCUAGAGUUUCGUUAAGGGUUUGAUUUUCAUUCACGGCCUGACGAGCUUUGCCGGUUAAACGAGUUCUUACGAACCGCACCACCGUGGCUUCGGCAGCAUUUUUCUGGGCAGGGGUUGCCUCCGCAAAUGUUUCCUCUACGUUUGAGUGAAACAACCUCACUGCGUCCAGAAAAGUUGUUAAAUGUUCUGAUGUGCACUAGGGCUGUGCCCAAUUUCAGAUCGACUUUAGGAGUCGCCAUUGUCGUGAUAUUUAUGACUCCUGAUUUCGUGUCGUUUAACUUUAUUUUCCGUUUUAUUAUUUCGGUUAUUUCAAAAUAUGCUUGUCUCGAAGAUUUAAUCAGAAAGUUUAAAUUUGUUAACGAUAUUUCCUCUUCAAACUCUAUAAGCCUUUGUUCAACAUCGGAAUAGAGUUCAUGAGCAUAUUUAAAUUUUGCUUGAAGAGUUUCGGUUCUAUAAUUCGUAUUUACGAACUUUUUUAGAUUAUUGGCAAGUCUAAUCAACUGACCAACAUCCUCUUCAAGCUGUAUCAUUAAUAUUUUGCUAAUCUUAUAUCUAUAAACAUUAAAAGUAAAAACAAAUCCUUUACUUAUCUUACAACCAUUCCACCCGUUUAGCGGAGGCGCACUCCUCGACGCUGAAUUCUGGUUCAAUUGCUGUUCCUUGCGGCGGAGGCGCACUCCUCUACGCUCGCUUUUAAUGAUGAUUCACUUUUCUGCUGCUAUUCGUUGCUACUGUUGCCGGCCUCAGGCAAGGGUCUCGCGUUUAUUCAUCAUGUUAGAUUCGGCUACUUUCAUUAUUAUGGGCUACUGCCCCACUGUUUAUCUCUUAGAAGCGAGAUAGGUGCCUAAAAAAAACUGACCGUUUUUCGAGUUCGACACUGUUUUUUCUUCAAACCUCACUUAGCUUAUUUAAAGCCGACACACUCUUCGCAGCUUUUAAAGCUUGCUUCCGUGAAUGUUCCUUAUACAUGCGGUAAAACAUGAUUAGUAGUUGUAGUACUACUAGUAUUAGAAUAAUGUUCAGUUUAGUAUCGUUUUUCUGGUGUAAACUUUCGUGUACUUCUAAUCUAUUGAGUACUUGGACCUGUGGGUCACCUUUAUUUUCCGUGUCCUUGGACUCCGUAUUGCCCAUGUUGCUGAUUCACUCAAACUACACUGUUCUAACGCUCCUUGUCCGUUUUAUUUCACUUCAGUUAGUUCGUUAAUAUGGCAAAUUUUGCCUUUUCCAUUUCUUUAGCCCACUCGGUGAUUAUUUGCUGCAUUAAUGCCACUGUUGCGCACAUCAAAAUUAAUGCUAGCAUUAUAAUUAAGAUCAAUGUCACCGUCAUGGUGCAAAA